ensembl:lncRNA
ACAUCACCUUGCUGCAACAGAAUAUAGUUAGUAUAGGUGUCAGCAAUCAUUUUAUUUAUCAUUGAGCGCAAAUAUGCAACCUGUGAACAAACAGAACAAAAUCAGUAGUACAACAACAGGAGUCAAGACUUUCAAGAAUGUAUGCCACGGUGGUCCAGACAUCAACCAGGCUGUCCAGCCUUGUGGGCUGUCUCUUCCUGGUGCGUGUUCUGCCACAUAUCUCUGCAGAGCGGUUAAGUUCUGCAGUGCUUACACACUUCUUGUGAUGCUGUUAUCAGGUCCAAUGUCAGUCGGUUCUGCAGUACCAUUGUCCGUAUGGCUUUCUGCUCCUUUGCUAGGGCUGUCCCAAGGGUUUUGGUCAGAUUUAUGUCUCAGUAGGGCGUAUCGGUUGAUCUCCACAUGAUCACGCACCUCUGCGACUCCAACAUUUGGGACUAGGCUUUGGAAGAAUUUGGAAUUCUCGUGGCACUCCAGUAUCCACCGUCACCCCGAAUGCGUUUGGUGAGGCCAUAUUUAUCUCACAUUUAUUCUGGUUUCUUGGGUGGUUUUCCAGCCUAUCCAUGAAGAAUAUGUGGUCUGACAGUUUAACCAGGGUGCACAGCCCGCCCCAUCCUGCUAGGAGUGAGAGAAAAGCUUUGUGUCCGCACAGGAAGUACCAGUCGGCUAGGACUUGUGUUCCCUUCGGGGUCUGGGCCAUGGAUGAGCAUCUGGUUAAGUUUUGUUGGUUGUCCUUAAGUGGGAACUGCCAUGAGGUAUUCCAAGAUUUUCCUAUCGUUGUUCAGUAAGAAUGGGUACAGUUACAUAGUCGUCCUGGUAGCCAUCAUUCGUUGAACCGUUUCCAGCGAGACAAACGGGCAAGGUUGUGUCUUUGAGGUGAUUCAGUAGCACUAGAUUGGGUAGUGGCUCCUGGACCUGUGGCCAACCCAACAGGUCAUCAUUCGAGACCCAUUUCUCUGUUGUGCAGUUUUUCCAGCCUUGGAUUGUGGAGCCAUACGCGACCAUGUUUAGUGGGGUCGAGAAGUCAGUGUUCUUCCUGUAAAUCCAGGGUGUGUGGCCAUUAGUUACUGUUGGAGCUAUUUGUUCUUUAUUUUUGUUUUUGUUCUUAUUUUUGAAAUUAGUUAAAGUUUGUUAGUUUACUUAUAUUUUGGGGUUUAUUUGUCGGUUAAUAUUUUGUUUUAAAUGAUUUGUUUGUUUGUUGUUAUUUUGUUAAAUUAGUCAGUAAAAGCUGUAGGGCCAUUUUGUUUCUAUAAAUAAAGAGACUGGUAUAGGACCAGCAUGCAUUGGGGUGGGCCUAUGGUUUUUUACCAGAGCAGGAGAAGCAGCAGGAAGGAUCUUGUUAUUGCUUGCCAAGAUGGAUAAAUAAACCAAAACUCUCAACAAAAAUGUUUGGACAAUGGACUUCUUUUGCCUGCGUAUGAAAUAUUACCUCAGUGCAGCAGUGGCUUGUGGACUUUAAGUUGUGGGACGUUUGAUCUUUCAAAAGUAAAGGAAUUGCCACUACAGUUACUUUUUACAACAUGAUUUAUCCCCUGAAUAGGUGAUAAAGCGAUAGAUCUUUCAGCCCAAUUCUACUUUUUCUGCAUAAUACAUCAUACAAAAUGUAAUCAAAUGGAAAAGUCUCUUUUUAAAACUUGUUUUAUUAGUUUUAAUCUUUUAACUUUAUGCAUAAAGCAAACA